rnacentral:rRNA from 1 species
UACAGAGGUCUCAAGCGUUGUUCGGAUUCAUUGGGCGUAAAGGGUGCGUAGGUGGCGCGGUAAGUCGGGUGUGAAAUUUCGGAGCUUAACUCCGAAACUGCAUUCGAUACUGCCGUGCUUGAGGACUGGAGAGGAGACUGGAAUUUACGGUGUAGCAGUGAAAUGCGUAGAGAUCGUAAGGAAGACCAGUGGCGAAGGCGGGUCUCUGGGCAGUUCCUGACACUGAGGCACGAAGGCCAGGGGAGCAAACGGG